AGACUUUCCUCCUCAAAAGAGAUUCUUCUUAGUGCAGAACAAGGUGGGUAUGCAGUGGGAGCUUUCAAUGUCUAUAAUUUGGAAGGAGUUCAGGCUGUUGUUGCUGCUGCUGAAGAACAACACAGUCCUGCCAUAUUACAGAUCCAUCCAGGUGCCUUAAAGCAAGGAGGGCUCUCUUUGGUUUCGUGCUGUAUUGCUGCU
rnacentral:misc_RNA from 1 species